UACGUAGGUGGCAAGCGUUGUCCGGAAUUAUUGGGCGUAAAGCGCGCGCAGGCGGUCCUUUAAGUCUGAUGUGAAAGCCCUCGGCUCAACCGAGGAGGGUCAUUGGAAACUGGAGGACUUGAGUGCAGAAGAGGAAAGUGGAAUUCCAGGUGUAGCGGUGAAAUGCGUAGAGAUUUGGAGGAACACCAGUGGCGAAGGCGGCAUCCUGGACCAAUUCUGACGCUGAGGAGCGAAAGCCAGGGGAGCAAACGGG
rnacentral:rRNA from 1 species